UACGAAGGGGGCGUAGCGUUGUUCGGAAUUACUGGGCGUAAAGCGCACGUAGGCGGAUAUUUUAAGUCAGGGGUGAAAUCCCCGGGGGCUCAACCCCCGGAACUGCCUUUGAUACUGGGUAUCUCGAGUCCGAGAGAGGUGAGUGGAAUUCCGAGUGUAGAGGUGAAAUUCGUAGAUAUUCGGAGGAACACCAGUGGCGAAAGCGGCUCACUGGACCAUAACUGACGCUGAUGCACGAAAGCUAG
rnacentral:rRNA from 1 species